rnacentral:rRNA from 1 species
UACGGAGGGGGCGAGCGUUAUUCGGAAUUAUUGGGCGUAAAGGGCGCGUAGGCGGCUGUACAAGUCAAAGGUGAAAUGCCUCGGCUCAACUGAGGAACUGCCUUUGAAACUGUACGGCUUGAGGCCGGGAGGGGGUAGCGGAAUUCCCAGUGUAGCGGUGAAAUGCGUAGAUACUGGGAGGAACACCAGUGGCGAAGGCGGCUACCUGGACCGGUUCUGACGCUGAGGCGCGAAAGCGUGGGUAGCAAACAGG